UACGAAGGGGGCUAGCGUUGCUCGGAAUCACUGGGCGUAAAGGGUGCGUAGGCGGGUCUUUUAAGUCAGGGGUGAAAUCCUGGAGCUCAACUCCAGAACUGCCUUUGAUACUGAGGAUCUUGAGUUCGGGAGAGGUGAGUGGGAACUGCGAGUGUAGAGGUGAAAAUUCGUAGAUAUUCGCAAGAACACCAGUGGCGAAGGCGGCUCACUGGCCCGAUACUGACGCUGAGGCACGAAAGCGUGGGGAAGCAAACAGGGAUU
rnacentral:rRNA from 1 species